UGCAAGUCGAACGAACUUCCGUUAAUUGAUUAUGACGUACUUGUACUGAUUGAGAUUUUAACACGAAGUGAGUGGCGAACGGGUGAGUAACACGUGGGUAACCUGCCCAGAAGUAGGGGAUAACACCUGGAAACAGAUGCUAAUACCGUAUAACAGAGAAAACCGCAUGGUUUUCUUUUAAAAGAUGGCUCUGCUAUCACUUCUGGAUGGACCCGCGGCGUAUUAGCUAGUUGGUGAGGUAAAGGCUCACCAAGGCAGUGAUACGUAGCCGACCUGAGAGGGUAAUCGGCCACAUUGGGACUGAGACACGGCCCAGACUCCUACGGGAGGCAGCAGUAGGGAAUCUUCCACAAUGGACGCAAGUCUGAUGGAGCAACGCCGCGUGAGUGAAGAAGGGUUUCGGCUCGUAAAGCUCUGUUGUUAAAGAAGAACGUGGGUAAGAGUAACUGUUUACCCAGUGACGGUAUUUAACCAGAAAGCCACGGCUAACUACGUGCCAGCAGCCGCGGUAAUACGUAGGUGGCAAGCGUUAUCCGGAUUUAUUGGGCGUAAAGCGAGCGCAGGCGGUCUUUUAAGUCUAAUGUGAAAGCCUUCGGCUCAACCGAAGAAGUGCAUUGGAAACUGGGAGACUUGAGUGCAGAAGAGGACAGUGGAACUCCAUGUGUAGCGGUGAAAUGCGUAGAUAUAUGGAAGAACACCAGUGGCGAAGGCGGCUGUCUGGUCUGCAAC
rnacentral:rRNA from 1 species